AGGGUUUGAUCCUGGCUCAGGAUGAACGCUGGCGGCGUGCUUAACACAUGCAAGUCGAACGAACCUUCGGGUUAGUGGCGGACGGGUGAGUAACGCGUGAGAAUCUGCCCUCAGGAGGGGGAUAACGGUUGGAAACGACCGCUAAUACCCCAUAUGCCUACUGGUGAAAUGAAUUUCGCCUGAGGAUGAGCUCGCGUCUGAUUAGCUAGUUGGUGAGGUAAUGGCUCACCAAGGCUUCGAUCAGUAGCUGGUCUGAGAGGAUGAUCAGCCACACUGGGACUGAGACACGGCCCAGACUCCUACGGGAGGCAGCAGUGGGGAAUUUUCCGCAAUGGGCGAAAGCCUGACGGAGCAACGCCGCGUGAGGGACGAAGGCCUCUGGGCUGUAAACCUCUUUUCUCAAGGAAGAAGAUAUGACGGUACUUGAGGAAUAAGCCACGGCUAAUUCCGUGCCAGCAGCCGCGGUAAUACGGGAGUGGCAAGCGUUAUCCGGAAUUAUUGGGCGUAAAGCGUCCGCAGGCGGCUUUUCAAGUCUGCUGUUAAAGCGUGGAGCUUAACUCCAUCAUGGCAGUGGAAACUGAAAGGCUUGAGUAUGGUAGGGGCAGAGGGAAUUCCCGGUGUAGCGGUGAAAUGCGUAGAUAUCGGGAAGAACACCAGUGGCGAAGGCGCUCUGCUGGGCCAUUACUGACGCUCAUGGACGAAAGCCAGGGGAGCGAAAGGGAUUAGAUACCCCUGUAGUCCUGGCCGUAAACGAUGAACACUAGGUGUCGGGGGAAUCGACCCCUUCGGGUGUCGUAGCUAACGCGUUAAGUGUUCCGCCUGGGGAGUACGCACGCAAGUGUGAACUCAAAGGAAUUG
rnacentral:rRNA from 1 species